GUCAGGCGGGUCUGGCUCUGUGUGCGCGCGCAUAUUUGCAUGCGACCGUUGGUGACUCCGUUAGGGACUUGAGGCUAACAGACAGCCGGACAGCCCCAGCCCAGGUCCCUCUCACAUUUAUGCUCCCAGCCUAGGCGGACUUGUGCCCCCAGGGCUCAGGGGGCUGGCGGCAGAAAGCAGCGCAUCCCCGCUAAGGUACCCCACAACCAGCUCUGCUCUCCAUACUGCUCCUCUCCCAUAAAAAACGGGAACUCCUAACUUCUUCAAAGGUCUCAGCUCAGAUCCAGGACUGAACCAAAGCUGACCAGAGGUGCUCCGCGGUCUUCCAAUCUCUGGUUCUGAAUCCAGGACCGGCUCUCAAAACCAAACAGGACAGACGUGCCCUCAGGUGCGUCACUAUACCCUGUAAGAUGAAGAGGGAGAAAGCCAGUUGCAUUCUGAUGUUCUGGUCUUCGGGAAAACGCUCUUAAGCUCGCUCCCCAACCAGGAAGCCAGGCAGCUGGUGGCCAAAGAGAUGCCUGGCCUCCCUGGCUGUCCAUUUCUGUGGUGUGCAAACAGGAGACCAAGUCCUUGCCAGUGCUCCCAUAAACUUCCGGAAAGACUGCCCGUUGCUAGCAAGACCCUCGGUAUCUGGAAUGAGAAGAGUCGAGAUGGAUCCCUUCCCCUCCUCAGGCUUUGCCAAAGAGAAUGGGAGAAGUUUGAAAGGGUGACAUGGGUCUUACCUGAUUUCUGCCUGGCCCACUUGUUGAAUGUGAAAUCGGAGGCCACCUGUGGUUCUCUCUGCCUUACCAAAAACACCUACUACGGUGUAAGUGGAACCAGUAGAUGAAACUACCCCAGAGCGCAGAGGAAGGAAGGAAGCGCUGCCUAACGGACAUGACAGGCACCACCACACAGUCCACUUGGUUGUAUUUGUCCCAUUAGAGUUCUUCGCUCCCUUCCCAACUUCUGAUCUUCCUUCCUGACCUAUAGGCAGAAGGAAGCAACAGCUCUUACCCAGAGGCCAAGAUAGGACUUCCAGAAAGCUACCCAUGUUCCCGAACAGGCCCACCAAUGAGAAGAGAUUAUCAGGAACCCUGCAGAGGGCCGGGCUGGGGGUCAGCCCACCCCUCUGCCCUAACCGCCUGUGUUGAAGGUUCUGCUCACAAACCUGAGAAUCACCAUUUCCAAGUUUGUAAGGAUCGGAAGGUCCUGGACGGACCCAGCAGUGUGGCUCUGUUUCGGUUCUAGGAACUUGCAUUGUCCGCGGAUGAACUGCACUCACUCCCAAGGAGACCAAGAUCUGCGGCUCUGCCGGUCCUACCCACAGGCAGAGAUGCUCAGCCCUUAGUCCUAGCCCCUCUGGUCCAGUGCUGCCCAAACAGAUACAAUGGCCCUAUCUUACCCUGGGCCAGCUGGCUACGACAGACUCUUCCUUCUCCAGAUGCCAGGCCUUCAGCACUGCCCUCUGGUUUGGUAGAGAGCUCCUUCGGGGAAAGCAGAUGGCCCGACAGGGAUUAGAAACUGUGACUGCCCAGACACAUCCCAAGGGCAGCCCCUGCUGCCUUGGGCCUGGCCCUAGCUCAGCAGUGCUGUCUCCCUGGAGAGCUGGAUACAGCAGUUUCCAGUGCCUCUACUCACUCCUUGAGCUCCACCUUCUCAUACUUGACCUUCCAGGAAGUAGCCCUGGAGCCAAAACAGGGGAUCACAGGUCUCCGUGGAGACCUGCUGUGGUCCCACAUCCUUCCUGGCUCUUGUCAGAUGGCUUCUGUAGCUUCUCCAUGCACAAUGUAGAGCUGUUCGGUGUUUUUCAGGCUGGCGUAGUCUGCCGGACUCCUACGGGGCCAGGGUCUGCUUUGUCGACUUGUUUUGAGAGGAACUACCAGGUGAACAAGACACUGGCAACAUAGGGAUGGUGCUCUUCUUCAACCCUAGCUCCAGGGUCAUAUUUAAAUGCCACUUGCAGGCCAGAGAGGACCGUACUUGUCAGGGGAACACCAGAGACAAAGGGGGCCGCAAGGCAAAGGGGAGACCUUCCCUUUUCUCAGCCUCAGCAAUGUUCCCACUGUUUCCAGGUGGGCAGGUAAAUCAGAAGGUGGGGAACCAAAGUAUCACGGUGUCCAAAGGGAAGCGGGGAAGGUGUGGACAAAAAAUGCCAAGUGGCAGAAGUAUGCUUCGGGUUUUUUCAGAAAUUCUGCCCUAAUGCCUACCCCAAAGUCAUUGAAUGAUUUUUUUUUCCAAAGGGGCAACCAUAAACUUUUAUCUGCUCUGCUGUUCAUUUGAUCUGAACACGAAUCUCUGAUUAAUGGACUGAGGCCACAGUCAGGCCCAUUUGGCCAACAUUUAUUUGAAUGCUAGCUCCUUUCUCUUGGCCUUACCAAGAAAUCCAGCAUUAGCUUGUUCUAGUAUUCCUAGCUUGCCCGCCUUCUCCUAGUACUAUAGUUUCAUGACCCCCAAGCUGAGCCUGUGAAACUGUGACAGUCAGGACGCUGUUAACUGCUUCUCAAAGUCAAGGAGACUGGGCUGUAGAUGGCCUUACAGUCCAUGGCAAACGAGGCUAGAACCCAGUACAGCAGGUAUCCCAGCUGCUAAUCACGUAAGCCUGGCUCUGCUUCUCAUGCCAGAGCAGACUGGCGCUCUGAACCUCCUAAGUGAUGAAGCCAAAUGCCUGAAGACAAUGGCCUAUACCCAGAACAGUCAUGAGGCUUCAAGACUACAGCAUUUAGUUCCUAGGGAAGCAUCUUCUAGGGCUUGCUUUCUGAUACAUACAACAGCUCUGUAGAAUCCGUGGAAGGAAGGGUUCAGGAUCUCGGGGUGCAGAUGAGUUUGAUGGGGUGCUUACCCAGCAUGCAGGAGGCUCUGGGUUUGAUCCUCAACAUUGCUUAAACUGGGUAUAAUAGUACACACCUGUAAAUCCUAGCACUCAGGUGAUAGGGGCAUGAGGAUCAGAAGUUUAAGGCCACCUCUGCUACAUAGGAAGUUUGAGGCCAGCCUGGAAUGCAGGAGACAGUAUCUUCAAAGUAAAUAAAAUAAUGGAUGAAAUA